AUUUAAAUAGCUUAAAACUAUAGAGCAUAAUAUUGAAGAUAUUAAGGUAAUCAUGAUUUUUAAAUA
rnacentral:tRNA from 1 species